rnacentral:lncRNA from 1 species
CUCAUAGCUACCCAGCAUAGUGUUCUCAAACAUCAGCCAAUUCACAUUAAUAGAACACUUUCAUGUGAUCCAGGGAGAAAGGGGAUCCACACACCAGCCAGGAGUGAAGGAGUGCAGAAGGUUAUAUAAAUCAGGGACAGAGUGGUGCAUUUUCAUUUUCAGUCCAGAGGAAAAUUGGAAUUUCAGAGAUAAAAUGAGCUGGCUGGUCACUAUGCAGAUGUUCAACAAUGUUCUCAAUCUGAAUCUUCCAGUCCUCCUGGGUUAGAUCCUCUUUGGAUCAAGAAAAGACAGUCUCUCCCUGGAUGAGCAUGAAGUGUGGAUGAGGAACCACAGGGGAAAUUCCAGCACACAACAGUAAAGCAGCCUGAUGUGAGUACUUCUUCUCCCACCAGUUCUAUCAUAAAAUAAAAGAGAAUAAAUAGAGACA